GCCGCGGUAAUUCCAGCUCCAAUAGCGUAUAUUAAAGUUGUUGCGGUAAAAAAGCUCGUAGUUGGAUUUCUGUUGAAGACGUCCGGUCCAUACCACGUAUGCGCAUCUGGCUCGGCUUCGGCAUCCUCUCGAAAGACGUUUCUGCGCUUGAUUGCGUGGAGCGGAUCUCGGGACUUUUACUUUGAGGAAAUUAGAGUGUUCACGGCAGGCUAUCGCCAGAAUACAUUAGCAUGGAAUAAUACUAUAGGAUCUCGGUUCUAUUUUGUUGGUUUCUAGAAUUGAGAUAAUGAUUAAUAGGGACAAUUGGGGGCAUUCGUAUCAACACGUUAGAGGUGAAAUUCUUGGAUCGUGUUGCGACGAACUACUGCGAAAGCAUUUGCCAAGGAUGUUUUCAUUGAUCAAGAACGAAAGUAAGGGGAUCGAAGACGAUUAGAUACCGUCGUAGUCUUUACCAUAAACUAUGCCAACUAGAGAUGGGACAUCGUUCACUUAAGACUUGUUCCGCACCUUAUGAGAUAUCAAAGUCUUUGGGUUCCGGGGGGAGUAUGGUCGCAAGUCUGAAACUUAAAGGAAUUGACGGAAGGGCACCACCAGGAGUGGAGCCUGCGGCUUAAUUUGACUCAACACGGGGAAACUCACCAGGUCCAGACAUAAUAAGGAUUGACAGAUUGAUAGCUCUUUCUUGAUUUUAUGGGUGGUGGUGCAUGGCCGUUCUUAGUUCGUGGAGUGAUUUGUCUGCUUAAUUGCGUUAACGAACGAGACCUUAACCUGCUAAAUAGGAGCGCCUAUCUCCGGAUAAGCGCCUUUCUUCUUAGAGGGACUUUAUGCGUUUCAGCAUGAGGAAGUUUGAGGCUAAAACAGGUCUGUGAUGC
rnacentral:rRNA from 1 species